rnacentral:rRNA from 1 species
AUUGAACGCUGGCGGCAGGCCUAACACAUGCAAGUCGAGCGGAUGAAGGGAGCUUGCUCCUGGAUUCAGCGGCGGACGGGUGAGUAAUGCCUAGGAAUCUGCCUGGUAGUGGGGAUAACGUCCGGAAACGGGCGCUAAUACCGCAUACGUCCUGAGGGAGAAAGUGGGGGAUCUUCGGACCUCACGCUAUCAGAUGAGCCUAGGUCGGAUUAGCUAGUUGGUGGGGUAAAGGCCUACCAAGGCGACGAUCCGUAACUGGUCUGAGAGGAUGAUCAGUCACACUGGAACUGAGACACGGUCCAGACUCCUACGGGAGGCAGCAGGGGGGAAUAUUGGACAAUGGGCGAAAGCCUGAUCCAGCCAUGCCGCGUGUGUGAAGAAGGUCUUCGGAUGGUAAAGCACUUUAAGUUGGGAGGAAGGGCAGUAAGUUAAUACCUUGCUGUUUUGACGUUACCAACAGAAUAAGCACCGGCUAACUUCGU